GAGAGCAGCUGGUACCCAUGGGCUGGGCGGAGCUCAGUGGCUCAUUGGGGAGUGAGUGGGAAUGGGGGCCAGCCUGGCCUUUUCCCCUUCUUUUUGGUACUCCCUGAAGUUUAAGAUCCACACAGACCUGGGAGGAGCUGAGACCACUACAUGAAAUGAAUCACAGAUGCAGAGUGCGCACGCAUGUACUUGGGGUGCAUUCAGAUAGGUAGCUAUGGGAGAGCGUGCCUGCAAAUGCCCGCGUGCACAAGAAUGUGGGCCACAGUGAUACCAGUACACUGGGAGAAGAAGCCAGAGGUACAGGAUCCAAUCACCUUCCCUGGAGUCUCUGCUUCCUGUCUCUGGGGCCUGGGCGGUGCCUUGGCUUCCAAGUCCUCCAGACCAUGACCAUAGAGGGACCGCCCAUUCGCUUGCUGCGCAGCUCCCCACGCAGCAGCUGCCUCCAUGUGUGUCCAGCCCUGGGAGAGGUGAGAGAGUGACUCUAAGGUGAGAGGGACAGUCCACAGCUUUGGUCCUGCCCCCUCCCCCACCAGGCCCUCCUCCAUCCUCCCACACGUAUUCAUUGUGGGAGGCCCCUGACACCAUUUGCACGAUUUCUGGUCACCAAAUAAACCCCGUAAAUUGUG